UACAGAGGUCUCAAGCGUUGUUCGGAUUCAUUGGGCGUAAAGGGUGCGUAGGCGGCGCGGUAAGUCGGGUGUGAAAUCUUGGAGCUUAACUCCGAAACUGCAUUCGAUACUGCCGUGCUUGAGGACUGGAGAGGAGACUGGAAUUUAUGGUGUAGCGUGAAAUGCGUAGAGAUCAUAAGGAAGACCAGUGGCGAAGGCGGGUCUCUGGACAGUUCCUGACACUGAGACGAAGGCCAGGGGGAGCAAAACGGGG
rnacentral:rRNA from 1 species